rnacentral:rRNA from 1 species
CACGUAGGGCGCAAGCGUUGUCCGGAAUUAUUGGGCGUAAAGGGCUCGUAGGCGGUUUGUCGCGUCGGGAGUGAAAUCCACUGGCUUAACUGGUGGCUUGCUUUCGAUACGGGCAGACUGGAGGUAUGCAGGGGAGAACGGAAUUCCUGGUGUAGCGGUGAAAUGCGCAGAUAUCAGGAGGAACACCGGUGGCGAAGGCGGAUCUCUGGGCCGAUACUGACGCUGAGGAGCGAAAGCGUGGGGAGCGAACAGG